UAUUAGCCCCGGGCGGAGCGGCAUCCCCGCUGCGUAGCGGAGGGAUAUAGCGGAGCACGGGAACAGAC
rnacentral:sRNA from 1 species